GCCUUGGCUCCAGCAGUGAGGAAUCCACAACAUCACAGUCACCCCGUGUGUGUUGACAAGUCCCUUGCAGAAGGAGCUUGUGUGGAAAGGACAUGCAGACAGCUACAGCUGUUGUCACUAAUGCUCUGUAGAUCAAGUCCAGGGACCAAUGGCUUCAUUCCACAGCAACGAUGGGCACAGCAGUGUCGGAGCAAACUGUUCAGAGCGAGGCACCGCUUGUUUCCUAAACACGGCAGCUCUAUGAGGCAGGGGCCUUGCACACUUUUCCAGACUUGGGAAAAAUUAGAUCAAUAAAAUCUUUAAAAGAACUCCUCAGGAGACGGUGGCAGCAGCAGCUAAGAUGGAAAAGGCAUAUGGAAUCCUGACACCGACUGCUUUGGGUAUCUCUGAAAAGGAGAGAACCGGGGCUGGGGUACUUAACUGAGCCAUCUUUCAUUUUAAUAAUAGCCUUUAUGGACUGCAGUAAGAAGGCAUCAAAGUUCAUUAAAUGUAAUGGGCUGAUCCUGCCAGGGACAAGGAAGGGAGACAGUCAUUCUGAGGGGUUGGCCUUUGAAACACUUCAAUUUCGAUCGUCGGUGUUCCGGUUCACAAGGCUGGGGUCAGCCCGUGGAUGAACACUGUGCAGGAGAGAGAAGGGCCCUGGGUCAGAUGGCAUGGGCUGGGUGGGGAUGGGAGUUCCAGGAAGAUCAAGAUCAUGGCCAAGAAUCUGGAUUUUGUGGUUGUGUUAGCUCUUUCUCUUAUUGCGGUGGUGAAGUACCCCAACAGAGGCAAUUUAAGGAAGGGACGUUUUAUUUUGGCUCACAGUUUGAGAGCAUAGUCCAUCAUGGUGGGGAGUCAGGGUAGCAGAAGUGUGUUGGGGUUGUCCUCGUGCUCUGUGCUUUCAGAUGCUGAUCUCUGCGCCCCCAGAUCCAGUUACAGCCAGGACACGGAGCAUCAUCGUCGUGAAUAUUGUAUUGUGAAUAAGAAUCUCCUCUAUCGGUGUGGAGUGAAGACAAUGCUCCCCAGUUAUCUCUGAUUGAUAAUAAAAGGCUGAACAGCCGAGGACUGGGCAGAGGAGAUAGAAAGACUGCACUGCCGAUCCCAGCCAGGCGUCCCCGGAAGAAGGAAUUCACCACAAGAAGAGGGCCAGGAGAAGAAGGGCCCCAAGGUGGAAAAAGAAGAUGGUCGCCUGAGGUUGGGCAGGAGGAGGAGUCACCAAGGGAGUUCUGCAUGAGGACGGACAGCUACAACAGAGCCAGCCAAGAAGAGACUGAAUACAAGUAACUUGGGGUGUGUGCUGCGAAGUAGCUAGAUAGUAUGGAGAGUUAGGACUAUCUGCUCAGUUAUUGUGCUUAAAGCUUGUUGCCUAAGUC
rnacentral:lncRNA from 1 species